UGCCUGUGUAACAUGGGAUUCCGGCUGAACUUCUCUCUCAUUUACAAAAUGCCACGGUUGACAGGAAAAGAAGCUUCCAGGACGUGGAUCUGUUUCCUGAGUUUAGCACACUGGCAACUCCCAUUCUGUAACAUAAUCCUAGCAGCAGCAAGAUAAACAGUUUGCAGAUCAAACAGUCUGAUGUUGACGUGCCAGGAGUGUCGAGUGCAUCACUGAUGACCUAAGGUUUGGCAGGACCAGGAAAAGAAGUGGAAGAGAAGAUACAAGAGGCAUAAUUAUUUCUAGGACCGGCUUUGUUAGAGUAAAACUCACCAGCAAGGCGAAUAAGCAAAA
rnacentral:lncRNA from 1 species